rnacentral:rRNA from 1 species
GACGAACGCUGGCGGCGUGCUUAACACAUGCAAGUCGAACGAUGAAGCCUAGCUUGCUAGGUGGAUUAGUGGCGAACGGGUGAGUAAUACGUGAGUGACCUACCUUUGACUCUGGGAUAAGCCUGGGAAACUGGGUCUAAUACCGGAUACGACCAAUCUCCGCAUGGGGUGUUGGUGGAAGGCGUUAUGGAGUGGUUUUAGAUGGGCUCACGGCCUAUCAGCUUGUUGGUGAGGUAAUGGCUUACCAAGGCGACGACGGGUAGCCGGCCUGAGAGGGUGACCGGCCACACUGGGACUGAGACACGGCCCAGACUCCUACGGGAGGCAGCAGUGGGGAAUAUUGCACAAUGGGCGCAAGCCUGAUGCAGCGACGCCGCGUGAGGGAUGACGGCCUUCGGGUUGUAAACCUCUGUUAGCAUCGAAGAAGCGAAAGUGACGGUAGGUGCAGAGAAAGCGCCGGCUAACUACGUG